GAUCAUUAUUGAAAGAAACCUCAGGCAGGGGGAGGUGGUUGUAGCUGGCCCCUAGGGGCAUGUGCACACUGUGUCUCUCUUGCUUGUUUCUUCAUUCUCUCCACUUGUGCACUACUUGUAGGCAGCCUUGGCAUUGUUCAGGUUGUCUAUGAUUUUCUUUUACAUACAUGAACAAUUGUUGUACAGAAUGUGAUAAAAAAGAGUAAUACAACUUUCAACAACGGAUCUCUUGGCUCUCGCAUCGAUGAAGAACGCAGCGAAAUGCGAUAAGUAAUGUGAAUUGCAGAAUUCAGUGAAUCAUCGAAUCUUUGAACGCAUCUUGCGCUCCUUGGUAUUCCGAGGAGCAUGCCUGUUUGAGUGUCAUUAAAUUCUGUCAAAACAUACACUUGAGUGUGUUUUGGAUUGUGGGAGUGUCUGCUGGCUUUAUGAGCCAGCUCUCCUGAAAGACAUUAGCUUUGGGGGGGAGGUGCCAAGUCACUUCUGCCUUUCCAUUGGUGUGAUAGAUGAAUUAACUUAUCUACGCCAGGAAAGCAGGCUGCAGGUGAUGCACUGUGAUCUCUCUCUGCUCUCUAAUUGACAUUUUGUCUGAUAACUUGACCUCAAAUCAGGUAGGACUACCCGCUGAACUUAAGCAUAUCAAUAAGCGGAGGAAAAGAAACUAACAAGGAUUCCCUUAGUAACUGCGAGUGAAGAGGGAAGAGCUCAAAUUUAAAAUCUGGCAGUGUUUUGCUGUCCGAGUUGUAAUCUAGAGAAGUGCUGCCCGUGCUGGACCAUGUACAAGUCUCCUGGAAUGGAGCGUCACAGAGGGUGAGAAUCCCGUCUUUGACAUGGACUACCAGUGCAUUUGUGGUGUGCUCUCAAAGAGUCGAGUUGUUUGGGAAUGCAGCUCUAAAUGGGUGGUAAACUCCAUCUAAAGCUAAAUAUUGGCGAGAGACCGAUAGCGAACAAGUACCGUGAGGGAAAGAUGAAAAGAACUUUGGAAAGAGAGUUAAACAGUAUGUGAAAUUGUUGAAAGGGAAACGCUUAAAGUCAGUCGUGUCGGCCAGGGAUCAACUCAGCUUUCUCUGCUGGGUGUACUUCCUGAUCUGAUGGGCCAACAUCAGUUUUGACUGCUGGAGAAGGAUAGAGGGAAUGUGGCACCUUCGGGUGUGUUAUAGCUCUUUGUCAGAUGCAGUGGUUGGGACUGAGGAAAGCAGCAUGCCGCAAGGCCGGGUCGUUUCGACCACGUUCAUGCUGAGGAUGUUGGCAUAAUGGCUUUAAUCGACCCGUCU
rnacentral:sRNA from 1 species